UAAUAAAUUGUAUGAAAAGCCGUUUAAAUUGUACAGUGAAGUUGGGCCAAUUUACAGUACUAUUGUGAGACACAUGUAUCAUCUUUUUCUCCAUGGAACACGUGUACUAUAUAUUACAAUGUAAACAGAGAAUAUAUACUCUCUCACUCACUUGCAACUUAAGAGAAUCAGGAAUAACUUCACUGAUCGAAAUUCAUUCUUAUGAUCAGCUAAGAUCAGGACGAUCUUUAUCAGCAAUUGAGUAAAGGCACUUUGAGAAGAAAGUAAAUUUAUCUUACCUUGGUGAUUCUAGGGCUACUGUUCAAGACUUGGGUCACUAUGUUGUCUAUUAUCGUCUUCCACAAACUAAAGGGGCAAGGUAGACAGGGAGGCGAUUCAGAUUUAUAGAAAUCGAUAAGCAGACUUUUGAGGGCACUCCAUUAUUCCGGAGGUGCCAUUGAUUUACUAUUUUAUGUACAUGUAUGUUUUGGGCACAACAGGGUCCUGUCCCGUCCAUAUGUCUAGUACUCUAGUAGAGGUUCGUAGAUACGUAUGUGUGGGUAGCAUGGUCUCACGAUGUUAUUAUGGUAUGUAUAUUAUUUUGA